AUGAAGAAGAUCUUGUUCAACAUGUUCUAUUCGAUACUGGUAGGAGAAGAACCUGACUCGGUAUUCUUAAAAAAGAGAGGACAGAACCAAGUCAAGAUGAUAUGGGUAGCCCCUUUUUCUUGUGCCAAAGAUCUUACCAUUUCUGAAGGAACUGGGGCUACAUUUCUUUUCAAUUUCCAUUCAAGAGUUUCUAUCUGUUUCCACGCCCUUUUCUUGAGACCUCGAAACAUGAGGACAAAUUACUUCUCUUAG
rnacentral:rRNA from 1 species